GCUCGACUAUUCGAAGAAUAAGUAGAGCUAUCCUACUCACCACGGCGUCGGCGUCAGUGUCGGUGUCGGCGUCACACCCUGGUUAAGUUUUUCGUACCAGUCCACAUUUUGACAAAGUCUUUAGAGAUAAAGCUUUGAAACUUUCAACACUUGUUUACCAUCACCAUGUUCAGUUAUAAACAAGAGUACAUAACUCUGUCAAGCAUUUUGACUGAAUUAUGGCCCCUUUUGACUUAGAAAUCUUGGUUAAGUUUUUCGUACCAGUUCAUAUUUUGACAAAAUCUUUUGAGAUAAAGCUUUGAAACUUUCAACACUUGUUUACCAUCACCAUGUCCAGUUGUAGGCAAGGGUACAUAACUCCAUCAAGCAUUUUGGUUGAAUUAUGGCCCCUUUUUUAUCCCCCCACCAAAGGUGAAGGGGAUAUUAGAAAUGCUCUCCGUCCGUGCGUGCGUCCGUCCGUCCGCAACGAUCUUUGUCCGGACCAUAACUCCAAAAGUACUUGAGGGAUUUUCUUCAAACUUCAUACACUGAUAGAACACAUUGGGAGGAAGUGCAGUGUGCAAGAACAAUAACUCUACCUUGCCUAUUUUUUGAGUUAUUCCCCUUUAUCUUAUUUUCUUAAACAAUUUUGUCCGGAGCAUAACUCCAAAAGUACUGGAGGGAUUUUCUUCAAACUUCAUACACUGAUAGAACACAUUGGGAGGAAGUGCAGUGUGCAAGAACAAUAACUCUACCUUGCCUAUUUUUUGAGUUAUUCCCCUUUAUCAUAUUUUCUUAAAACAUUUUGUCCGGAGCAUAACCCCAAAAGUACUGGAGGGAUUUUCUUCAAACUUCAUACACUGAUAGAACACAUUGGGAGGAAGUGCAGUGUGCAAGAACAAUAACUCUACCUUGCCUAUUUUUUAGCUCACCUGUCACAAAGUGACAAGGUGAGCUUUUGUGAUCGCGCGGUGUCCGUCGUCCGUCGUCCGUCCGUGCGUCCGUGCGUCCGUGCGUCCGUAAACUUUUGCUUGUGACCACUCUAGAGGUCACAUUUUUCAUGGGAUCUUUAUGAAAAUUGGUCAGAAUGUUCAUCUUGAUGAUAUCUAGGUCAAGUUCGAAACUGGGUCACGUGCCAUCAAAAACUAGGUCAGUAGGUCUAAAAAUAGAAAAACCUUGUGACCUCUCUAGAGGCCAUAUAUUUCACAAGAUCUUCAUGAAAAUUGCUCAGAAUGUUCACCUUGAUGAUAUCUAGGUCAAGUUCGAAACUGGGUCACGUGGGGUCAAAAACUAGGUCAGUAGGUCUAAAAAUAGAAAAACCUUGUGACCUCUCUAGAGGCCAUAUUUUUCAUGAGAUCUUCAUGAGUAUUGGUCAGAAUGUUUAUCUUGAUGAUAUCUAGGUCAAGUUCGAAACUGGGUCACGUAGGGUCAAAAACUAGGUCAUUAGGUCUAAAAAUAGAAAAACCUUGUGACCUCUCUAGAGGCCAUAUUUCUCAAUGCAUCUUCAUGAAAAUUGGUCAGAAUGUUCAUCUUGAUGAUAUCUAGGUCAAGUUCGAAACUGGGUCACGUGGGGUUAAAACUAGGUCAGUAGAUCUAAAAAUAGAAAAACCUUGUGACCUCUCUAGAGGCCAUAUUUUUCAUGAGAUCUUCAUGAAUAUUGGUCAGAAUGUUCACCUUGAUGAUAUCUAGGUCAAGUUCGAAACUGGGUCAUGUGGGAUCAAAACUAGGUCAGUAGAUCUAAAAAUAGAAAAACCUUGUGACCUCUCUAGUGGCCAUAUUUCUCAAUGGAUCUUCAUGAAAAUUGAUCAGAAUGUUCAUCUUGAUGAUAUCUAGGUCAAGUUCGAAACUGGGUCAUGUGCGGUCAAAAACUAGGUCAGUAGGUCUAAAAAUAGGAAAACCUUGUGACCUCUCUAGAGGCGAUAUUUUUCAAUGGAUCUUCAUGAAAAUUGGUCAGAAUGUUUACCUUGAAUAUAUCUAGGUCAAGUUCGAAACUGGGUCACGUGGGGUUAAAAACUAGGUCAGUAGAUCUAAAAAUAGAAAAACCUUGUGACCUCUCUAGAGGCCAUAUUUUUCAUGAGAUCUUCAUGAAUAUUGGUCAGAAUGUUCAUCUUGAUGAUAUCUAGGUCAUAUUCGAAACUGGGUCACGUGGGUCAAAAACUAGGUCAGUAGGUCUAAAAAUAGAAAAAACCUUGUGACCUCUCUAGAGGCCAUAUUUCUCAAUGGAUCUUCAUGAAAAUUGGUGAGAAUGUUCAGCUUGAUGAUAUCUAGGUCAGGUUCAUAACUGGGUCAUGUGCGGUCAAAAACUAGGUCAGUAGGUCGAAAAAUAGAAAAACCUUGUGACCUCUCUAGAAGCCAUAUUUUUCACGAGAUCUUCAUGAAAAUUGGUGAGAAUGUUCACCUUGAUGA